AUUCAUCCUAUACCUAAUGCGCUCUAACAAGGUGCGGCUGACAGAUGCCAGUAUGACGUUGACGUCUCUCUGUAGGGAUGGACAUUAGAAAAAUCUUUUUUUAUCGCUAUCGAUACUCGCAGCAUACAUUUAAUUCUCUUGAAUUUUUUUAUUAAAUGUGUGUGUUAUUUAGUUGUGCAGUCUAACUACGUGUAUAUACUUGUCAAAAUAAAUAU